ensembl:lncRNA
CAUAGAAAGAGAGAGAGGUGGAGGAGAAAGAGAGAGGAAGAGACACAGAGAGAGAGAAAGGUGGAAGACAGAGAGAGAGAGAGAAAUGAUAGCGAGAGAAUGAGACACAGAGAGAGAGAGGUGGAGGAGAAAGAGAGGAAGAGACACAGAGAGAGAGGGAAAGGUGGAAGACAGAGAGAGAGAGAGAAAUGAUAGCGAGAGAAUGAGACACAGAGAGAGAGUGGUGGAGGGAGAGACAGAGACAGAGAGAGACAUAGAAAGAGAGAGAGGUGGAGGAGAAAGAGAGAGGAAGAGACACAGAGAGAGAGAGGUGGAGGGAGAGACAGAGAGACAGAGAGAGAC